UUGGAAUUUCGCUAACUCCUCCAAAGGCUUUCGUUCCACCGGCACCACAUUUGCUCAGGCCAAUCUACACCCCAUGGCCAUUAAAAGUUAUUCAAAUCAUGACGCUGCACCCCACGGUUUAGGUUCUAGGGGGCGCCAAAGAUAACCCUAAGAUCCACAUAUUUAAAAGUCUUAUAACUUUUUAUUUUUGCCCUCACUGGCCUCCAAGUUUUCUAGGAUGAUGCAAUGUCCAGCCAUCAACACAUUUGUGAAGGAAUUUUUACUCGGCAAAAGAGCGCCCCCCAUGGCAGGAGAAAAAAGUCAAUUUUUUCUUGUCCACUAAGGUGAAAAUACACAUUGUUGAGUGCUACGCCUGUAUGUUUUGUCGUAUUGACACAAAAUUUUACAUACACGUGUAUUUCAAUAAGAUCUUCGAAAAAGUCAAUGGCCACGUAUCUGUAAAAUGUACGGUUAAAGGGUUAUUUCGCAUUUUUUGCAGAUUCGCACACAUUGGAAUUUCGCUAAUUCCUCCGAAGGCUUUCGUUCCACCGGCACCACAUUUGCUCAGGCCAAUCUACACCCCAUGGCCAUUAAAAGUUAUUCAAAUCAUGACGCUGCACCCCACGGUUUAGGUUCUAGGGGGCGCCAAAUAUAACCCUAAAAUCCACAUAUUUAAAAGUCUUAUAACUUUUUAUUUUUGUCCUCACUGGCCUCCAUGUUUUCUAGGAUGAUGCAAUGUCCAGCCAUCAACACAUUUGUGAAGGAGUUUUUCUCUUUAAAAGAGCGCCCCCCCAUGGCAGGAGAAUAAAGUCAAGUUUUUCCUGUUCAUCAUUCAAUGGCUCAAACGCACUGCUCUCUCGGCAAAAGCGAAAGGAGGAGCAACUUGCCAUUUGGAUAUAUCUUAGCUGUGUUUGUGCCCUCACUCAUGGUCCAGACUUUUUUCAAAUAGGACAUGGAGUUUUUCUGCAGCGAGCGUUUUGGUAGAAACUGCGCCUCCCGUUCAUUAUAAUGGUAAAUGACCACAAACAAGUGCGCACACCAUCUUUGGACCUUGAGUGUGACGCGAUCGGGUGGGGGAGGCGGUCGCGCUGGGGGCGGCGUGACACGGCUCGGGCCCGCCAGUGCCCCAACGGGGCCCUAGUUAUUAUUAUUAUUUUUCCUCCGCUUUAAACUGGAAAAAAACUCACUUCCCACUGGCGAAAACUCAUGAAAUUUGGCAGGACGACCGGGCCUGGUGAAAAAUUCGAUAUUCUGAAGUCGCCCAAACAAUAAAAUGCAAAAUGGCUCCAUAGCGCCCCCAAAGGUGAAAAUUCACACCAUUGACUGUCACGCCUGUACGCUUUGUCAUAUUGACACAAAAAUUGACACACAUAUGUAUCUCAAUAAGAUCUACAAAAAAGUCAGUGCAGGCGUAUCUGUCAAAUGUACGGUUAAAGGGUUAUUUCGCAUUUUUUGCCGAUCCGCACACAUUGGAAUUUCGCUAACUCCUCCAAAGGCUUUCGUUCCACCAGCACCACAUUUGCUCAGGCCAAUCUACACCCCAUGGCCAUUAAAAGUUGUACAAAUCAUGACGCUGCACCCCACGGUUUUGGUUCUAGGGGGCGCCAAAGAUAACCCUAAAAUCCACAUAUUUCAAAGUCUUAUAACUUUUUAUUUUUGUCCUCACUGGCCUCCAAGUUUUCUAGGAUGAUGCAAUGUCCAGCCAUCAACACAUUUGUGAAGGAAUUUUUACUCCCCAAAAGAGCGCCCCCCCAUGGCAGGAGAAAAAAGUCCAUUUUUUCUUGUCCCCUAAGGCGAAAAUACACAUUGUUGAAUGUCACGCCUAUACGAUUUGUCAUAUUGACACAAAAUUUGACAUUCACGUGUAUCUCAAUAAGAUCUACGAAAAAGUCAAUGCGCGCGUAUCUGUAAAAUUUACGGUUAAAGGGCUAUUUCGCAUUUUUUGCCGAUUCGUACACAUUGGAAUGUGGCUAACUCCUCCUAAGGCUUUCGUCCCACUGACACCAAAUUUGCUCAGGCCAAUCUACACCCCAUGGCCAUUCAAAGUUGUAAAAAUCAUGACGCUGCACCCCACGGUAUACGUUCUAGGGGGCGCCAAAGAGGACCCAAAUAUCCACAUUUUAAAAAGUCUUAUAACUUUUUAUUUUUGUCCUCACUGGCCUCCAAGUUUUCUAGGAUGAUGCAAUGUCCAGCCAUCAACACAUUUGUGAAGGAAUUUUUUCUCCCCAAAAGAGCGCCCCCCCAUGGCAGGAGAAAAAGUGAAGUUUUUCCUGCCCAUCCAUAUGGCUCAAACGCAUCGCUCUCUCGGCAAAACCGAAAGGAGGAGCAACUUGCCAUUUGGAUAUAUACUAGCUGUGUUUGUGCCCUCACUCAUGGACCAGAAUUUUUUCAAAAAGGACCUGCAGCGAGCGUUUUGGUAGAAACUGCGCCUCCCAUUCAUUAUAAUCGUAAAUGACCACAGACAAGUGCACACACCAUCCUUGGACCUUGAGUGUGACGCGAUCGGGAGGGGUAGGCGGUCGCGCUGGGGGUGGCGCGACACGGCUCGGGCCCGCCAGUGCCCCACUGGGGCCCUAGUUUCUUCUUUUUCCUCCCCUUUGAACUGGAAAAUGGCCCACUUCCCACUGGCGAAAACUCAUGAAAUUUGGCAGGACGACCGGGCCUGGUGAAAAAUUCGAUAUUCUGAAGUCGCCCAGACAAUAAAAUGCAAAAUGGCUCCAUAGCGCCCCCUAAGGUGGAAAUUCACACUAUUGACUGUCACGCCUGUACGCUUUGUCAUAUUGACACAAAAAUUGACACACAUAUGUAUCUCAAUAAGAUCUACAAAAAAGUCAGUGCGGCCGUAUCUGUCAAAUGUACGGUUAAAGGGUUAUUUCGCAUUUUUUUCCGAUCCGCACACAUUGGAAUUUCGCUAACUCCUCCGAAGGCUUUCGUUCCACCGGCACCACAUUUGCUCAGGCCAAUCUACACCCCGUGGCCAUUAAAAGUUAUCAAAAUCAUGACGCUGCACCCCAAGGUUUAGGUUCUAGGGGGCGCCAAAGAUAACACUAAAAUCCACAUAUUUAAAAGUCUUAUAACUUUUUAUUUUUGUCCUCACUGGCCUCCAAGUUUUCUAGGAUGAUGCAAUGUCCAGCCAUCAACACAUUUGUGAAGGAAUUUUUACUCCCCAAAAGAGCGCCCCCCCAUGGCAGGAGAAAAAAGUCCAUUUUUUCUUGUCCCCUAAGGUGAAAAUACACAUUGUUGAGUGUCACGCCUAUACGCUUUGUCAAAAUGACACAAAAAUUGACACACACAUGUAACUCAAUAAGAUCUACGAAAAAGUCAAUGCGCGCGUAUCUGUCAAAUGUACGGUUAAAGGGUUAUUCCGCAUUUUUUGCCGAUCCGCACACAUUGGAAUUUCGCUAACUCCUCCGAAGGCUUUCUGUCCACCGGCACCACAUUUGCUCAGGCCAAUCUACACCCCAUGGCCAUUAAAAUUUAUUCAAAUCAUGACGCUGCACCCCACGGUUUAGGUUCUAGGGGGCGCCAAAGACAACCCUAAAAUCCACAUUUUUAAAAGUCUUAUAACUUUUUAUUUUUGUCCUCACUGGCCUCCAAGUUUUCUAGGGUGAUGCAAUGUCCAGCCAUCAACACAUUUGUGAAGGAAUUUUUACUCCCCAAAAGAGCGCCCCCCCAUGGCAGCAGAAAAAAGUCCAUUUUUUCUUGUCCCCUAAGGUGAAAAUACAUAUUGUUGAGAUUCAUGCCUAUACGCUUUGUCAUAUUGACACAAAAUUUGACAAUCACGUGCCUUGCCUGGUAUCAUUUUUUUUCAGCACAACCUCACCUGUGCGAAUUUACAGUUAUUUUAUCAUGUUGACAUACUGAAUUUACACAAUGGACCCAAAUUCACACACAAAACAUAAAAUCCGAGUGGAAAAAAGUAAAAUUUUUACUGUGAAAACCACAAAUAUGUGUGAUGAACUGUUUUUAAAACUUAAACUUCAAAUAAAAAUUGUAAACUUCAAAACAUAUGCAAAUUUUUAACAAAGAACAUAGUGAUUUACCUCUAUUUACAUCAAAAUGCAGGCAAUGGCCCAGGCGUUCUUUGUAAAAUUAUUUACAAAACACUGUAUAGUCUCACAAAUGUCAAUUUUUAUUUAUGCCACUACAAAAAAACAUGAUGUAAAUGAUGCAUGAUGUAAAACAUGAUGUAAAAAACUUGUGUAGAUCCUCCUCUAUGUCAGUCCAUGUGUAAUUUUUCCAUAAUUCUUUGUUUUUUGCAGCAUUUUUGUUAGUGUAACUGCAGAUUGUGCUGACAGUGUCUAUGGCACAAAAAAAAAAAAAAAUUAAAAUGCCUCAACAUGAACCCCUGGUGGUCUCUGAGGGUGAAACCUGCUAACUGCUGCAGCUCUGUCAGCUUCAGUCUCCCAUGCAGAGCUCUGAGCGCAUGUGUGGCUCUGCACCCUUAGCAGCGUUGCUAACUCCUCAGUAAGGAAAGCCUGCUUCAUGUCAGAGUCUCUAAACUCCAGAAGAAGUCGAUAAAAGUCCCUUUCUUUCUAAAAAAAAGUCGUUAGGGGGUCUGAAAAGUCAUUGAAUCUAACAACAAAGUCGCUAGGUUUGCAACUACGUGUCCCAGACUGCAUCCC